UGAUUGCACUUUGCAGCCCAGGUGGAAUUCGCCACAGGACUUCCACUGAAUAUUUUGCUGCGUAUGUCUUGGGCCACGGACGUUAGGACUGAGCACAUAAAGAGAAAAAUAUUUGGAGGACAUCUUUGAGGCCAAAAAAGAGUCAUCACAGAGUACAAAUUAUGAACACUGAACUACAUUUGCUUACUGAUACUCAAAUGCUAUCUGGACACAGCUCUCUGUAGGGCUAUUAUCUCCACUCCAAGGGGCCCUACUUGAGUGGGCAAGGUUGAAAGUGGACAAGAUGACCUUCACAGGUGCCUUUCAUCAUCAAUCUUUGUGGUUAUGUGACUCCUAACUGCAUGAAAAUGCUUGUGGUGCAUGUUUAGAUGUUAUAAAACAGUAUCAGUUUUGAUUAAAUAAUAAAGCACAACACCUGAAAACUCAUGAAGGUCUCAUCUGUGUUUUGAAAGGCUGAAAAAAGUCCUGGAGCAUUGUCUCUACCUGUGUUCUGCUGCUGACUGCAUCUUAUUAAAAAUAAUGUCCUCAUCUACUCGAAUGCAAUCAAGAAACAGUGUAUGAACACCUUGAUUGCUUCUACUAAGACAUUUGACCAAGUAUUACAUUGUAUGUUAGAAUCAACUUUUAAAUAAUUUGGUGAUUAUGAAAUUCAGUGUAUAUUGCAGUGUGCUGGUUUGAGGCUAAUUAGAAUAUUUUACUGAGAGAAAUCCUUAUCUGUGAGAAGAAAGAAAAAAACAACAGUACCCUAAAUCAGUCAUUCUGCUGAGAAAUGCAACCAGUCAAAAUAUAGAUAAGACAUUCACUUCUUACACACAUCUCAGUUCUCUCCUUUUCUCUCUCGUGGUCUGUGUGGUUGCUUCUGCCUUAACUCUAACCUAACCUCCAUGUCAUCUUUUUGACAUCUCACCUCAGAUCUCUCCAUAUUUAUCACAUGAGAUAUACAGGGAUUGAUCUGGUUAUUUCUGA